AGUGAACGCUGGCGGUAGGCCUAACACAUGCAAGUCGAACGGCAGCACAGUAAGAGCUUGCUCUUACGGGUGGCGAGUGGCGGACGGGUGAGGAAUACAUCGGAAUCUACUUUUUCGUGGGGGAUAACGUAGGGAAACUUACGCUAAUACCGCAUACGACCUACGGGUGAAAGCAGGGGAUCUUCGGACCUUGCGCGAUUGAAUGAGCCGAUGUCGGAUUAGCUAGUUGGCGGGGUAAGGGCCCACCAAGGCGACGAUCCGUAGCUGGUCUGAGAGGAUGAUCAGCCACACUGGAACUGAGACACGGUCCAGACCCCUACGGGAGGCAGCAGUGGGGAAUAUUGGACAAUGGGCGCAAGCCUGAUCCAGCCAUACCGCGUGGGUGAAGAAGGCCUUCGGGUUGUAAAGCCCUUUUGUUGGGAAAGAAAAGCAGCAGGUUAAUACCCCGCUGUUCUGACGGUACCCAAAGAAUAAGCACCGGCUAACUUCGUG
rnacentral:rRNA from 1 species